ACAUGCAGUCGAGCGGACAGAAGGGAGCUUGCUCCCGGAUGUUAGCGGCGGACGGGUGAGUAACACGUGGGUAACCUGCCUGUAAGACUGGGAUAACUCCGGGAAACCGGAGCUAAUACCGGAUAGUUCCUUGAACCGCAUGGUUCAAGGAUGAAAGACGGUUUCGGCUGUCACUUACAGAUGGACCCGCGGCGCAUUAGCUAGUUGGUGAGGUAACGGCUCACCAAGGCGACGAUGCGUAGCCGACCUGAGAGGGUGAUCGGCCACACUGGGACUGAGACACGGCCCAGACUCCUACGGGAGGCAGCAGUAGGGAAUCUUCCGCAAUGGACGAAAGUCUGACGGAGCAACGCCGCGUGAGUGAUGAAGGUUUUCGGAUCGUAAAGCUCUGUUGUUAGGGAAGAACAAGUGCAAGAGUAACUGCUUGCACCUUGACGGUACCUAACCAGAAAGCCACGGCUAACUACGUGCCAGCAGCCGCGGUAAUACGUAGGUGGCAAGCGUUGUCCGGAAUUAUUGGGCGUAAAGGGCUCGCAGGCGGUUUCUUAAGUCUGAUGUGAAAGCCCCCGGCUCAACCGGGGAGGGUCAUUGGAAACUGGGAAACUUGAGUGCAGAAGAGGAGAGUGGAAUUCCACGUGUAGCGGUGAAAUGCGUAGAGAUGUGGAGGAACACCAGUGGCGAAGGCGACUCUCUGGUCUGUAACUGACGCUGAGGAGCGAAAGCGUGGGGAGCGAACAGGAUUAGAUACCCUGGUAGUCCACGCCGUAAACGAUGAGUGCUAAGUGUUAGGGGGUUUCCGCCCCUUAGUGCUGCAGCUAACGCAUUAAGCACUCCGCCUGGGGAGUACGGUCGCAAGACUGAAACUCAAAGGAAUUGACGGGGGCCCGCACAAGCGGUGGAGCAUGUGGUUUAAUUCGAAGCAACGCGAAGAACCUUACCAGGUCUUGACAUCCUCUGACAACCCUAGAGAUAGGGCUUUCCCUUCGGGGACAGAGUGACAGGUGGUGCAUGGUUGUCGUCAGCUCCUGUCGUGAGAAGUUUGGGUUAAGUCCCGCAACGAGCGCAACCCUUGAUCUUAGUUGCCACCAUUUAGUUGGGCACUCUAAGGUGACUGCCGGUGACAACCCGAAGAAAAGGAGGGGAGGAAGUCAAAUAAUAACGGCCCCUCUUAACAGGGGGGAUACAUUGGUUAAAUGGGAGAAAAAAAAGGGUGUGAGAAACGCAGGGUGUGUCC
rnacentral:rRNA from 1 species